UACGUAGGUGGCAAGCGUUGUCCGGAUUUACUGGGCGUAAAGGGCGCGUAGGCGGCCUGCUAAGUCGAACGUGAAAUCCCCGAGCUCAACUCGGGAACUGCGUCCGAUACUGACAGGCUUGAAUCCGGGAGAGGGAUGCGGAAUUCCAGGUGUAGCGGUGAAAUGCGUAGAUAUCUGGAGGAACACCGGUGGCGAAGGCGGCAUCCUGGACCGGCAUUGACGCUGAGGCGCGAAAGCUAGGGGAGCAAACGGG
rnacentral:rRNA from 1 species